CUUUGGAUCGAAUCGUAUUUAUGGUGAUUAAUUAAACUAAGUGUUCUUUACUUAUUGAGAAAUAUCACCAGUAAUGUUGUUCAAUUCUUGGUAUUAACAGGAUUUCUUUUGGCGAUGUUUACUGAUAAUCAAGACAUUCAAGAUUACAGAGUGACUCCAAUAAUGAUCCCAUUGUAAUUAUCAACAGCAAGAAACCAUCGAGAAAGCUUUCCUUUGCCUUCUAUAACAUUUGUAAAUAUUGUAUGUGCGGGAUCACACGUUAGCCGGAUGAAAUGUUUACCUUACGUGAUGGUAAGAAAGAAACAUUGUUUACCAUGAAAGGAGGAGACUGAGGAAGGACGAUAGAAAUGGAAAGCGAAUGGAAUGAAGAAAUACAAGAAGAGAAAAGACAUUGUCGCAAGAAGGACGACAGAGAAAUUACAAGGGUGAAAGUAGAAAAGGAUGGCUUUUUUUGUCACAUUGCUUUCGAUUAUUAUCAUCAUGUUACUGAUGAUUAGACACUUGUCUUACCCAGACCCGCCUAUCAAUAAUCUGCCUCAGUAAUACUGUUUUUGGCUUAGCUGGUUUGCAAACGAAAAAAUCAGUCUCUCGGUUGCAAAGAGUUUCUCUCCAACCUCAUCAGUUUAAUUGGAAGCCGACGAGCCAAUUCGGGUAACAUUUUGGAACUUCGAGUGUUGACCAAAAUCCAUUAUACCCCUUGAACCUGCCCCAAUUCAAACAUCAACAACGAUUGCAACAAGUUACCCUUUUACUGAAGGAUUUGCUUCAAAACAACAGGAAAAUUUACUGAAAAUCACUAACAUAGCAGAUGAAACAAGUUCACUGAUUAACUGGCAAACCAAUUUUUCUGGAUUACAUUGAAUCGACCAAUUUCAUAGUUGAUAGCUUCAUUGUUCAAAACAGUUGAAAACAGCCCGAAAAACAUUUCAUUUUAAAUGCCUUUAGCCAAGAGCCAAGUUUUGAUUCUAUCAAAUCUUCAUCAUAGCCGAGAACCAUUCAUCGAAGGUACAAAUUGUCAUAAAAUGGACGUAAUUAUGAAAACAUCAUCGAUAGAAACUGUUUCUCCAGUAAAAUGCUCAGCUUCCCAGUCAUCAUCAAUAUCUACAUUAAAACACCAAUCAAAAGUGAAUCCAUGGGAGCCGAUGUUUAAAAAUUACGAAGCAUUCAUUGACGCUCAUACGUGUUAAAAUGUAAAACCUGAAAAGUCCAAAAAUCCCAAUCAUCAAGCUAUCAUGGCUGAUUCACCAACAUAAUCAUUAUCAUAUUCAUUCUACCUUAUGCUUACAUAACUUUGAUUAAUGAACAUUUUCUCUAGUUUUAAUUGAUGUCAAUUAGCUUGUGAAUCUUGUGAUUGUUGAGCCCUUUUGUUCAUCAAAAGGGCGUCCUGAAAACAUGUACAAAAAGCUGUUUUUGCAACGUUGCUAAUUACAAUUUACGGAGUGCUGGUUACUUAAUGGUUAGGAUAUGGAAGAGAGUCAAGAAGGCAAGAAUAAGAAACCAAAGUUGGGUUAAUCAACAUGAAACCUGAUUUACCAGUUGACAAUCACUUUUGAUUUUGAACCAAAUUUUCAAACCAACUUUCAAAUGGCAAGAAAAAGGAUGAAAUGAAAAUCACAAAUUGUUCAUUAUUAGCUCUAGAUCAAUCAAUUGAAUGCUCAAGAUAUUUAAUAAAUGUAAUUUAUCUUAUUCCAUUCUGUAUUAAUUAAUUGAAAAGGGAAAUGUAAUCAUUAGCAAACAAAUUAUGUAUUAGGUUGAUUAUUUAAUUGAAAGUAAUAUUAGCUUGAAGCUGUGAACGAGUCAAAACAUUUAUUAAUAUUCAAUGAUUGAAGUGAUAAUAAAAUAAGCUUUAA